GCUGGGCAUUGUGGGGUGCACCUGCAGUCCCAGCUAGCUACUAUGGAGGCUAAGGUGAGAGGAUCACUUGAGCCCAGGAGUUUGGAGCCAGCCUGGGCAACACAGCAAGACCUCAAAU
rnacentral:sRNA from 1 species